rnacentral:rRNA from 1 species
UGCGUAGGCGGCGCGGUAAGUCGGGUGUGAAAUCUCGGGGCUUAACUCCGAAACUGCAUUCGAUACUGCCGUGCUUGAGGACUGGAGAGGAGACUGGAAUUUACGGUGUAGCAGUGAAAUGCGUUGAUAUCGUAAGGAAGACCAGUGGCGAAGGCGGGCCUCUGGACAGUUCCUGACGCUGAGACACGAAGGCCAGGGAGCAAACG